rnacentral:rRNA from 1 species
AUUGAACGCUGGCGGCAUGCCUUACACAUGCAAGUCGAACGGCAGCACGGGAGCAAUCCUGGUGGCGAGUGGCGAACGGGUGAGUAAUAUAUCGGAACGUGCCCGGUCGUGGGGGAUAACGUAGCGAAAGCUACGCUAAUACCGCAUACGAUCUACGGAUGAAAGCGGGGGAUCGCAAGACCUCGCGCGAUUGGAGCGGCCGAUAUCAGAUUAGGUAGUUGGUGAGGUAAAGGCUCACCAAGCCGACGAUCUGUAGCUGGUCUGAGAGGACGACCAGCCACACUGGGACUGAGACACGGCCCAGACUCCUACGGGAGGCAGCAGUGGGGAAUUUUUGGACAAUGGGCGCAAGCCUGAUCCAGCAAUGCCGCGUGCAGGAUGAAGGCC